rnacentral:rRNA from 1 species
UACGUAGGGUGCAAGCGUUUAAUCGGAAUUACUGGGCGUAAAGCGUGCGCAGGCGGUUGUGCAAGACAGAUGUGAAAUCCCCGGGCUUAACCUGGGAACUGCAUUUGUGACUGCACGGCUAGAGUGUGUCAGAGGGGGGUAGAAUUCCACGUGUAGCAGUGAAAUGCGUAGAUAUGUGGAGGAAUACCGAUGGCGAAGGCAGCCCCCUGGGAUAACACUGACGCUCAUGCACGAAAGCGUGGGGAGCAAACAGGAUUAGAACCAGUACCGUCGUAGUCCAA